CGGAGUGUAGCGCAGCCUGGUAGCGCUCUUGGUUUGGGACCAAGAGGUCGGGAGUUCAAAUCUCUCCACUCCGA
rnacentral:tRNA from 1 species